rnacentral:lncRNA from 1 species
CAGAGAUCGAAGAGAUAUGGCGUGCCUUUCUCCUUCCAAGGCAACUUGUUUCUAGGAUUCUGCCAGUGAAGAGUCAUGUGUGUCUGUUGGCUUACCAGCCUAAUUUUGUCUCUCGACAAUUUGGGUUGUGUCAACUUAUCCCUUUCUCUUUAUUCAAACGAAAGCGCGAGAUCUGCUGUGCAGGAACUGAAUGGAGCGCUAGAGACAUUGCCGUCCACAAAGAAUUCCAUGCCAAUUUUUCCGAAUUCCAAUUAAUAGCCUUCCAACCAUCGUUCUAUUCCACCAAUGGUUUCGCCACUUGGUGGACAGAUUUCUAUUCCAAGAACAUGUUUUCGACUGCUGAAAUCAAAGAACGUCUAACGAAGGCUUCCAAUUAAUAGCCUUCCAACCAUCGUUCUAUUCCACCAAUGGUUUCGCCACUUGGUGGACAGAUUUCUAUUCCAAGAACAUGUUUUCGACUGCUGAAAUCAAAGAACGUCUAACGAAGGCUUUUUCGUCUUUGCAGGAAAAUGUCCCCAAGGGUAAGCUUACUCAUUCUGCAGAAAUCCAAGCAUUUCAAAAGUACUUUGAAACUGUCUAUAACCCAACGAACAUCGUUGACACUGUUUGUUAUGCAACCCCAAU